rnacentral:other from 1 species
AACUCCCUGCCUCGUGCGAUAAUCUCGGCUAAUAUUAACCCAACACGUAUUAAAAGGGAACCUAUCUCCGCUGUAUGGGAAAGCAGACCUCCUGCCAUCAGGCAGACGUUGGGAGCUCAAAGUCAGCGGGCGGUGCCCACCUGCAAAAGAGCAGGUUACUAUCAGCCGUUUCCGGCCUGGCGGGGAGACU